rnacentral:lncRNA from 1 species
CUUAACUCAGACAUUCUGGCUGGGAGGGAGAGGAAGAAACAAAGAAUAAAGAGAACAGAAGCAGGGAGAAAAAACAGAGGAGAAAGAGGGAUCACAAGAGACAAAACUGGAAUACAAUACAAUGCAGAACAGGAAGCUGAUUAUGAAAAUCUAUGUUAAUGAAGGUAACAGGAAAGCUUCGGCAUGAGAAAAAGAAGGAAGAAGAAAACAGAGCAGACAAAAAGGAUGGAGAGAGGAAAAAAGAAACUAGGAGAGAAUGAAGGAAGCAAAGAAAAUUAUUUUUUUAUAAAUGUAACUCAGACAAGGCCUAAUCCUUCAGACUUUUUGUGCAGGCAAAAAUCAUUAAUUAAUUUGCAGAAUCAGAGCCACAAUAUUGAAGCUGGAGAGCUGACCGGCACCUGGUCAAGUGUGUAUGCAGCUAAAUAGCUCUGAUUCAAAGGACAUUAGUGAACAGUUGAAGACAAAAAGUAUGAAGAAUUUCUUUUAGCAUAGAAGCAGCACGUUCACUUAGCAUCUCAAGCACAGACAGACAUACAGGUAUGACAACACUGAAAAUUCAUGAAUGGUAUUUUCCUCGCAAAGUACAGAAAAUACAAGCUUUAUAUUGACAAUGGUGUAUAUUAAUAUGCAGAAUGGUCAUAGCCCUAAUUUUCUUGUUUGAUGGAUCAAUCCUAUUUAAUUCUUUAUGUAGAUCUUACAGAGCUCGUCCCUCCGGUUCAAUACAAGUCUUCCAUUGAUAUAAUUUUUGAUUGGUAAAAUUAUGGAUUUAGUCUGAGGUUUCAUUCCAUUGAGUUGUUUAAUUAUUAAGAGCCAAAGUGUCUUUGGCAUUAGUGUAUACACCUGAGUUCUACCUCUUUACUUCUGCACACACACACACACACACACACAAAUCACCCUUCAUGGUGCAAGCCCUCCUGAUUAUGAAGAUGACCCUUAAAGUCAGAAGUGACUGUAAACUAAUACAGUGAUCUCUUCCCGAGAUUGCAGACAGCCCGAAACCACCAUCCUAAGAGAUUUCAAUUGCCUCAUUCAUCUCAAUCACCAAAAUUCAUCACCAUCCUAAAUUGACUUCCAAGGCUUUUCAACUAGCAAAAACCACAACUGCUUCUCCUGAGCUGCCAAAACCUCCAGUUUUACCCUAACCGCUUCUAUAAUACAGUAAUACACUAUAUGUUGUCAAGAUGAAAGACUGCAGCACACUGAAAAUGCAGGACCAGCAUAAAAAAAGUUAAUUUUAAUUUCAAAAUAAAUGCCAUAGGGGCUGAGCUAAUAGUUUUAUU